UCCUUCCUUCCUUCCUUCCCUUCUUCCUCCCUUCCCUUCUGUUCACCAGGUAUGUUGCAUUUAAGCUAUUUUGGUCAGACUGGGGCAAAACGCGUCAAGGUUCUCAGACCACAUGAAGGAAGUGCAGAAAUCCUGGGGACGAAGUCACUAUGCUCAGCAUAAAUGAAACCCUGUUCUGCCAGACAGAGUUCCUGCCUGUACCCUCCUCUCUUCUGCUGUGUCUGCAACUUGGAAACCCUACCAGAGACUGAGGCCGUCUCAGGACACAUGUUUGUUGAACUCUUUCGUUUUCUCUGUGGUCUUUAAAAGCCACUGUGGUUUCUAGUCCUGGAAUCAGCUUUUCUGGGCAUGAUACGUUGGCCUCCAGCUGUGACCCUUCUGGGGCCACGAACUCUAACAGGACUCUAGCAGAGAUCUGAAGAUUCUCGUUAAUGAGCUGGUGGCAAACCCCGUGAGCAGCUGCGGGGGACGGGCAGGCAGACUUCGGUGACUACCAGCUCCUGUAGCGACCAGCGAACCAACCACGUGCCCAGGUACCCCUUCCCAGCCUUGCACGGGAAUGCUGUGGGAGACAACGGGAGUAGGGUUAACACGGGAGUCCCGGGCCCGUGCCCAGUAAAGUGCUAAGUUAGAUGAAAGAAUCAAAGAAUACCAGAAGACAGCACAAAACUGGUACAACCUGGAAAGUCACAGGAACUCAGAGGAGAUGGCAGCCUGUGGAUGAUGAAAUCGGUGAAGGAUAUGAAACUUCCAGGGUGAAAGAUCCGAGCGUUUCACUGGGUGGGGUGGGUGACAGGGUGAAGGGAUUUGGCCAAGCCAGAGAGGCAGGAACGAGUGCUGGACGUUCGAGCAGGAGUGGAUUCAUCACUCAAGGUUGCAGAGAGGAAGGAGUGCGUCAUCUGAGAGAUGAGGACACAAACAGGUACAGAAGGAAGACUAUAGGAAGACACCAGAAAACAACCGUCCACAUCCCUGCGGACACCGUGAUCUUGGACUUCCAACCUUCAGCAUGGUUUUUCUCCAGGAAACGAACUCUCGUGAUGAAACGCAUCUGGCUGAGAGCGUACAGAGCAAUGACAUUAAAUGUAAUUGACAUUAAAGCAUCUCCCUGGACUGCGGUUGACGGAGCUCCCAGGCUUCAGGGCUCGGGUUGCACCAAGCACUGACAUUCAAGCUUGCCCAUCGUCUGGAACACUGAAUUCUUCUCCUUUCCCCAGGCACAGAACGGCCUCCAGGGGGUUGAGCAAAUAAGAGCUCCAGCUACUUUCUCUUUACGGAGAAAGGUGCAGCUCAAAACUUUUAUCUGAUCGAGUUGCUUUUUUCUCCUGCCAGCUUCUCCUUUGAGUCCUGUUGCCUGGACCACAUAAAUCCCCAGAGAUGUACCUCCCCCAAUUAAGAUUUUGGCAGAAGUAUGGAAAAUACAAACCCUGUUUUCGUGCCCUUGAAUAAAGCAGAGGCAGGCUGGAACAUUCAAAAGGAACCCGACUAGGGACUAACAGGGAAGGGGGCAAUAGACACGGACACGGAGCAGAACAACAUUUACAAACAUUUGUUCUUAAACAAUCGGCCCAAUUAGCUUGCUCACAGGCACCGUUCUUUCCACCUCUAGGCUGAGUAAACUCCUCUUUAAUUCUUUGGCUUUUCUUCCUUUGGUUUUUUUGUUUGUUUGUUUUGGUUUCUUUUCAGAGAAGACGUUGGGAUUAGACAUCUGUCAUAUACUGACCUUCUGACCAAAUGCUGGGUUGAUGGCCUGCCCCGGGGUGAAUACAGAGCCCCCGUAAUUCUCAGCUCUCAUUCUCCAUGGCAGCAAGACAGAGCAUGGCUGAAUCAUGCUGUCACCCCCUGCUCCAUGCAGGUAGGGUCAAAGAUGAUCUCCUUGUCCCCUCUCCUGACUUGACUUCUAUUUGUUAGUGAGAAGCUAGCUUCUCUUUGGGAUUGGAGUGUGGGCCGGCGAACUUGAAGACACAGAACUAGCUCUCUACCUUAAAGCUCUAAAUAGCUCUAGAAGUUAUCGACACAUCAGCUAAUGGAACAGCCCUUCAAGGAGGCCACAUGGGCAAUGGCCUGUUCUAUGAUACUUAUGGGCCUCUCUCCAUUUGGGGGGUUGGGGGUCUUGCCCAUUUGUGCUAUCCAUGCAGCUGGGGCCUUGCAAAGGUGGAUGUUUUAUUCCAGAGUUCUGUAAUGUUAGACUGAGGGAGACCUUGGAUCUCUUAUUAUGUCCAACAUCAUGAAAUAUGGCACAGCACAUGAAAUAGGGUGACUAUUUAGAGUUCAGGGAUGGUCACUGGCUUGGAAUCAGGAGGUCCAGGUUUGAGCCCUAGAUCUGUUACUAACUAAUCUGAAUGAACUUGGAUAAAUUCCUUCAUCUUUCUAAGCCUCUAAAGUAACGAUUGCUUUGAUUUUCACUGAAAUUAUCCCAACUCAAGGUGGAAGCACGGAUGGUCUUUCACUGAUCAGAAGUUCUGAUGAGCAGUUAUAUAGGCUUUAAUGAAUAUACCAGGAAAUGAAACAUGCAGUUAAUGACAUUUGUUUGGGGAUCAAAGAUCUACCUUCCUUCCUUUCUUCCUCCUUCCCCCGUCUUUCUUUCUCUUUUCUUUUUUCCUUUCCUUUCUUUUCUUUUCUUUUUUAAUCUCUUUUUCUCUCUGUCUCUCU